AGGCUUAUUUUAAUAGUGGUGUUUAUGAGCAAUGUCAGAGGAAACGGAAGGUGAUAUAAAAGCACUGGCGCCCCAGACUCCGCCUUACCUUCUAGAUGGCAUCCUCGUCAUCACGAGUGCUGGAGUGUGGAGACCUGAUUGAGACUGUCCACAUUGGCUGUCUGGAUUGGGCCAUCUACAUGGGACAGAUAACAUGAUCCAACUGACUGCUUCAAGUACAUUCCUCAGUAUUGGUUCCUCCAACUUGUUCAUGUUGCUAAGCAGCCAGACUGUGGUGACAACGGAUCCUCUGCUACUUCUAUAGUGUCAAUAACCUGUAGGGCCGUAAGUACAGACCUCAGUGUGUGGAUGUAAUUGUCAACUCCUUGUCUUCAGAGCUCCUUCACCCGUUUUGUCAAGAAGUUCUGCAGUCUGAGUUCAUUAGCAGAUCUGGAAAGUUGUUGUCUUCCAUCCAGCCUCGGGGCCACUGCAAUCAGGCAGCAGGAUGUGUCUCCCAGGGAAAGGGCCAGGACCCCCUUCCCAGAUGGAAUGUAAAAUCCCAGACAGAGCCCCCAAAUUGUUGGAAUUGAUAACCCUCCAAUGCCGGAAACAGACACACAAGAGACAGAAAAUCUUGACAAGGCAAUUUCUCUUGAUCAAGAGGGUGCAAGCAUGUGCUUACUCCCGCUAAGCAACACACAAGCACAAGAUGGCUGACAGUGGCUCCUCCUUAUGUCCUGGACGCGGUCGUACCUGCCCCUCACCUGGGAUUUGUCCAGGUCAAAGGUUCACAGUCUU